GAUGAAGAACGUAGCGAAAUGCGAUAAGUAAUGUGAAUUGCAGAAUUCAGUGAAUCAUCGAAUCUUUGAACGCACAUUGCGCCCGCCAGUAUUCUGGCGGGCAUGCCUGUUCGAGCGUCAUUUCAACCAUCAAGCCCCCGGCUUGUGUUGGGGACCCGCGGCUGCCGCAGGCCCUGAAAAGCAGUGGCGGGCUCGCUGUCACACCGAGCGUAGUAGCAUACAUCUCGCUCUGGGCGUGCUGCGGGUUCCGGCCGUUAAACCACCUUCAUAACCCAAGGUUGACCUCGGAUCAGGUAGGAAGACCCGCUGAACUUAAGCAUAUCAAUAAGCGGAGGA
rnacentral:misc_RNA from 1 species